rnacentral:rRNA from 1 species
UACGAAGGGGGCUAGCGUUGUUCGGAAUUACUGGGCGUAAAGCGCGCGCAGGCGGUUUUUCAAGUCAGUGGUGAAAGCCCGGAGCUCAAACUCCGGGACUGCCAUUGAAACUGUAAAACUUGAGGACGAGAGAGGUGAGUGGAAUUCCCAGUGUAGAGGUGAAAUUCGUAGAUAUUGGGAAGAACACCGGUGGCGAAGGCGGCUCACUGGCUCGGUAUCUGACGCUCAGGCGCGACAGCGUGGGGAUCGAAACAGG